ensembl:lncRNA
CCUGGACCUUCCACAGUCAGAGUCAUAACGCUUCAGCGCGCUGUGCUCCAGAGGCCCUGCGGCGGGAUGUGGAGCUGCCGACUGGCUCUGGCCCAAAACUGUGCGCUGGAGGGACUGCCUGAAGCCAAAACGGGGCAGGGCACCGCGCAUGCCCGGCGCAAAACUGCUGUACUCUACGGCCUUCCGGGAGCCCUCAGGCGGUCCAAACUGACCUGUUUGUCCGUGUCUCUGGCGAAGUGGAUUUCAUCCCCCUCACAGACUGACUCCGUUAUGGCUAUGGGAAUCGGUGUUGGGAGAACAGCUGGAGGCGUUGACAUAUGUUUUGUGUGGUAAGUACAGAGGCUGGGAGCCAUCCGCUGCUGCUUCUGAUAGGCAUCUCAGUAAGAUUAAGAUGAAUGGUGAUCAAAUCAUGGUCAGCGAACUCUGUCAGGGGGUGGAAAACCCAGCAGUCAGUUAAAUUUAAUGUGCCUUCAGGGUUUGGGAGAAUUGCUCCAGAGUGCUUUCCUUCUUUGAGCAAGGCUUUGGGGUGAAUCUUAAAGAGAUCAUUAACAUUCCUCCCUCCCUCAGACUUCCCUGGGUCUAAAACAUGUCACUGAGGUGUUUCCCUCUCUUUUGCCGCAAAAGUCAGAGUGGUCCGGUUCCAGCAGGUAUAACUUCACCCUUUUCCAAGUCGUUCCCUACACUCACUUGAAGAUCUUUCAUCUGGAGUGGUCAGUUCAGGGACAAGGAAAUUUUUAAAAAUUUACAGAGUUCCAUUAUGAUCUCACUUUGGCCCACUAUAGAGGGACUUGGCAAGCAGUGUACUUGACUAAGUAGUCAUUAUCCUUGGGAUCUAGGACUCUCUCAGUCAAACAAAGUAAUCUAGACGGCUGAAUCAAGAAUUAAAUUUGAAUGCUCUGGGCCUUCUUUUGGCCAGCCGGACACUUCUAGGGUGUUGUAGUUAAGGAAAGUAAAGAAGCAUCAUGUCCCACAAUAAACAGAUGAAGUCCUGAGUUUUUAAAAUGGAUCUGUAUAAUUUCCCACCCCUUGUGUUCUGAUCAUUAACCAGGAGGCAUUGGAGGUGGGUGAUCCCAUUCUGCGAAUAGACACAUAGAGUGACAAAACUUCCCUACUGAACAUGAGGAAAAUUUUGUCUUGGGGGAAAUAGCAUGGUUGUGAAAUUAAAAAAUUAUCAUUUUGCUAUUUGUUUGCUUUAGCCAAAUAGCCGAGGUAGGUUAUUCUAAAAUAAACUUGAUUUGGUCUUUUCCUGUUUUAUAUUGCCUUCAAUGAAAAAGAAAUUUUCAAACAUUGGUUUAAAACUCAAUUGCAUACUAUGGAAACAGUACAACAUCUACCAUAAAUAUAGAGGCUGUGUAUUAUACUAAAAAGAAUAUUGAGCCUGUUUAUAGCCAUGUCUUAGAAAAUUCUAUUUGCUUCUCUGUAUAUGUUUCCCUAUUUGUAAAAGGGAAUGGACCAGCUGGUCAUUAACACUUCUUAAGCUCUAACUGCUGAUAAUUUUGAUUAGCCCCUGGAGUGUUUGGCUGGAUUUAUAUUUGCUUCCCCUUAACAAAUAUAAAUAAUUUAUAAAUAAUUGGGAGGUUCAUCUAUUCAAAUUAUUUGGCUAGAAAUAUCUCUGUUAUGUUUUGUACCCAACCAUUUCCAUUAUUCCUGUGUCUUCCAUGGUUCCUGCUCAUAAUGGUGAGACAAUAUCAUGGUAUAUUUUUUCCAACUUUAUUGAGAUAUAAUUGACAUAUAACAUUAUGUAAGUCUAAGGUGUACAAUGUGGUGAUUUGAUACACAUAUAUAUUCUGAAAUGAUUACCACAAUAAGGUUAGUUAAUGCAUCUAUCACCUCACAUAAUUACCUUUUCUUCUUUUUUUUGGUGAGAGCAUUUAAGAUCUACUCUCUUUGAAAAUUUCUAGUAUAUAGUACAGUAUUGUUAACUAUAGCCACCAUGCUGUGCAUUAGAUCCCCAGAACUAUUUCAUCGUAUAACUGGAAGUUUGUACCCUUUGACCAACAUCUCUCCAUGUCUCCAUCCCCCAGCCCCUGGCAACUACCAUUCUGUUCUCUGUUUCUAUGAGUUCAGCUUUUAUAGAUUCCACAUAUAAGUGAGAUCAUACAUAUUUGUCUUUUUCUAUCUGAAUUAUUUCACUUAGGAUAACGCCCUCAAGGUCCAUCCUUGAUGUUACAAAUGGCAGGAUUUCCUGCUGUUUUAUGGCUGAAUAAUAUUCCAUUGUGUAUAUAUACCACAUUUUCUUUCCAUUCAUUCAUUGAUGAACAUUUAGGUUGUUUCCAUGUCUUGGCUAUUUUGAACAAUGCUGCAGUGAAUAUGGAGGUACACAUAUCUCUUCAAGAUAGUGAUUUUGUUUUCUUUGGAUAUAUACCCGGAAGUAGAAUUGCUGUAUCAUAUGGUAUCUCUGUUUUUAAUUUUUUUUUUUUUUUGAGGAAGAUUAGCCAUGAGCUAACUACUGCCAAUCCUCCUCUUUUUGCUGAGGAAGACUGGUCCUGAGCUAACAUUCGUGCCCAUCUUCCUCUACUUUAUACCUGGGAUGCCUACCACAGCAUGGCUUUUUGCCAAGCAGUGCCCUGUCUGCACCCAGGAUCUGAACCAGCGAACCCUGGGCCACCAAGAAGCGGCAUGUGUGCACUUAACUGCUGCGCCACCUGGCUGGCCCUCUGUUUUUAAUUUUUUGAGGAACUUCCAUACUGUUUUUUCUAGUGGUUGAACAAAUUACAUGCCGUCCAACAGUGCACGAUGGUUCUGUUUUCUCCCCGUAUCCUUGCCAACUCUUGUUAUCUCUUGUCUUUUUGUUAAUAGCCAUUCUAACAAGUGUGAAGUAAUAGCUCUUUGUGGUUUGGAUUUGCAUUUCCCUGAUGAUCAGUGAUGUUGGGCACCUUUAUGUGUACCUGAUGGCCAUUUGUAUGUCUUCUUUGGAAAAAUGUCUAGGCAGAUCUUCUGCUUAUUUUUUAAUCCUAUUGAGUUUUUUGCUAUUGAGUUGUAUGAGUUCCUUAUAUAUUUUGGAUAUUAACUUCUUAUCAGAUAUAAAGUUUUCAAGUAUUUUCUCCCAUUGCAUAAGUUGUUUAAUUUUGUUAAUUGUUUCUUUUGCUGUGCAGCUUUUUAGUUUGAUAUACUCUCACUCAUUUAUUUGUUGUUGUUGUUGUUGCUUGUGCUUUUGGUGUCAUAUCCAAAAAAUUGUUGCCAAGACCAGUCAAGGAGCUUUUUCCCUAUGUUUUAUUCUAGGAAUGUUACUGUUUCAACUCUUACAUUUAAGUCUUUAGUCUAUUUUGAGUUAAUUUUUCUAAGUAAUAUAAGAUAGGGGUCCAUUUCACACUUUUGCAUGUGGUUAUCUAGUUUUUCCAACACCAUUUAUUGAAGAAACUAUCCUUUCCCAUUGCAUAUUCUUGGAUUCCUUGUCAAAUAUUAGUUGGCAUAUUGAUGAAUUACUUAAUAAAUAUAAACCAAUCCUUCUACUAAAGUAGGUAAGGAACAAAUGGGAAAGAUUCAACGGGGAGAAAAUAUGGCAAAGAGAAUAGUAAAAGUAAAUUUUCUUUGUUUUCUGUGAGUACAAAGAAUCUAUCUUCUCCAUUGUACCCCCAUCCAUUCUUCUAAAAACUUAGUCAUAGUACUUCUAAUUGGAGGCUUAUCCAACAUUAAUUCUAAACUUCUUAAUAUAAUAUUUAACUUUUUUUAUGAUUUGGUCUCAAUCUGCCAUGCCAGUUGAAACUUCGAGUUUCACAUAUCUUCACAUACCUUGUAUUCAGAAACCUCAAAUUAGCAUUCCAACAGGGUCAGGAAAUAAUGGCAUAAGUGAAGCGUGCCAGGUUUGUGUCAUAAUGGUGAUCCAAGUGCAUAUUAAAACCAAAUAAAGAGAUGUAUUCUUCAUUUCCCUAAAGUAAUAUUUCUUCUAUUUUAUCUUAUUUAUGUUUCCAUAAUAGAUACAAUAUGUACUUCAACUUUUUUCUUAACUUCAGUAUUUGAAAAAGAAAAGAAAAAAGAUCAUCACAAGGUUGAUGAGAAAUGAUGAUUCCAAGCUUCAUUGUUGAGGAGACAAAAGGGAAUAUUGGAGACUGUGGUAAACAUCAGAAUGAAUGCUUUAUAUAAGAGAUACGUGUGCUGCUGGAAUCUAAACAGUUUUUGUUAUGAGAUAAUGUAGAUCUGGUGUUAUAGCAUCUUCCAAACUUUAGGAAUAUAUGGGGAUUUAACUGGGGGUGGGAAUGGUGGUCAUAUUGUCUUCAGCACUUAAAGUAGUAAAACAAAAAAGCAUGCCCUCACCGAGUUCACAGUCUACUGGGGAAAGUGCCAGCAAUAUACAUACUAAAUGAGUGAAUUAUAUAAUAUUUUUAAAUAUGAUGACUGCUAUGGAGAAAGAAUAAGGCAUAGUAAAGGAGAUAGGGAAUAAUGGGUGAGAUUGCAAUUUUAAAUAGAGUAGUCAGUAUGUUACGAUUUGAAGGAGAUGAAGGAACAAGUCAUGCUGGUAUCGGAGGACAAGAACUGCAGGCAGAAGAAGCUAUUAGUGUAAAAGAUGGCGUGUUGAAGGAAGGGCAAGAAAGCCAAAGUGGCUACAGCAAAGUGAGAGAGGUAGGCAAUGAGGUCAGAGAGGUAAGGCUAUGGUGUGGGCAGUUCUUGAAGGUUCCUAUACAGAAUUGUAAGGAAUUUGAUUUGUUUCUGAAUGAAAUAGGGAACUGUUGAAGAGUGUAAUUUUUUUUUUCCAUGUGGAAUCUCAAGCUUUUAAAGACUGGGGACUAUUUACUUUUUUUCUUCAAUCUGAACAUGUCAAUCUGUGGCUAUGUGCAGCCAGACUCAUGUGGCAGGCAGCCAGUUUGCGAGUUCUGCUACUGAAAUGUUUUUUGUUGUCUCAUCCUUUCAUGAUCACGUCUUGCAUUUGAAAUAUUCUUUGUCUUGCAUUUAAAAUAUUUCCCCUCAAUAUCUUAAACUGAAUUGUUCCAUAACCUAUUUCUAUUUCUCAGUUAACUUAGAGGAUUCCCCAGUCCUACUUACUGUUCCCUGUCUCAUUUUUGCUUCCUGCCAUUUCAUGCAUCCUGGGCUCAGCUUUGCUCUUCUGUGUGAUUUGGCUCCUAAUUAGACUGCUAGCACUGUCCUUUACCCUGCUUCUUACAGUUAAUGUUGAGUGGAACAUGCUCGUUGAUAUGUAACAAAUCUGUACCACUGUCAGAAUGAGCAUCUUCUCCUGACACUUCUCGGCCUUCUGAUUCCUCCCGUUAUGAAUGUUGACUCUUCAAUCAACUUCUUACAGGUUUGGCGCUGUUAUGAGAAGGGAAGCAAAUUAAUCCACCCUGUUCCAUUAAAAACCUCCACUGACCAAAAGAGAACUUGUUGAAAUACUUUUAAAGAGAGGGCAGUAAAGGUAGCUUUGGAAUAGUUCAUUGUUAUCAGCAAUGUUAUAUUCUUUUUCAGUUUACAGAACUUUGCCUGUAAAAAAUGGAACAGCUACACAUUUGGAUGGGACACCUUUAUAAGUAAUGAGAUCUUAGAAUUUAAAUGAGAGAGACAUUUAAGCACUCCUCCUUCUAAAUUUUCAAGUUAAAUGGUCAAGAGUCAUCACAUAUAUAGCUCUACUUAAGGCAAUCGACUUGCCCCAGGCCAUCAGAACCAGCGCUAGAGUCUUUGAAUUUUGCUAAUAAUUCAUUUUGCUGCUGCUAAGACAAUACCUCAUUCUCAACUAAUGUGAAUAAAUUACUACUUUCCAACUUCAUUUGAAAAGGAAUUAGAUUAAGUGAAACAGUUUAUAUUGAGUGUUUGCUAAAUAAGACAUUUUGAAAUAGAUGGUAUUUCGAAGAUAAAACAACAAUGGAUUUCACCUUUGUGGAAAUGAGAUCCUAACCAUUUUGAUAAGAACUAUAGUCUAAAGGAAAUCCUGAGUCAACAUAAAGCAGUAGGGUUUUUUUUCCCUAUAGAGGUGAAACCACAUAGCAGAUGAAUGGCAUAUUGUGUAAAGUACGAAUUAAAGAAAGAAUAUAAUGGAGAACUUUUAGUAAAGUUUCAAUUUUAGUAAAAUAGAAAAUUUUUUGCAGGAUCUUUAAAUUAAUUCCUUGGAGGAUUAUUUCUUUCUGAACAUGUCUUUCUGAACAUUAUUCUCUAUGAUAUAAGAACAGUAGAUGUUCUGGAUCAUUCACUUUGGAAUCAAGAAAGAUUUUAUGGAAAUCCAGAAAUUAUUUUGUUAAAAAAUAACAGCAAGGUAUCAUAAUAAAAUGCAUUCAGCAGAUUAAAUAUGAGGAAACAGAAAUUUUUAAAAAUAUACAAAUAUUCUGAAAUGCUUUCAACAUUAGUUUUGGGUGAUUUCUUUUGUGAUUAUUCAAAUUGUUAGCAGUUACUCUGUUUUAUUAUUGCUGUUUGUUUUCAUACACAUAGACUAAAAGGUUUACACUUAAACGAGAAGAUGCCUACUUCAAUCACUUAUGUCACACUAAGCAAAACCACAAAAUUUGAGUUUAUGCUAACGUGGAGAAUUUAAUGAAUGCAAAAACUAACCCCAGUAACAAGAAAUCAGAUUAUUACUCUCAAGAAAUAAUGCUAGGUGAAUUUUCAGCAUGAGAAGUUAUUUUUCAGGAAAAAGCAAUCUGAUUGAAUUCGUAUAGCUGUUCAGAUCACAAGGACUGCUUUUACUGCUAUUACUGUUUGGUCCUCAUCUUGGAGUGACAUUGUCCCCUUCUCUAGCUUUGAUCUUAACAAAGAGAAAAAAGAUAUUUUGGUGAAAAUGUUUGGAAACUUGUUGACACUUCUUAUGGGUAUCUUUCCUGUUUUGUUUUUUGUUUUCCUAACCAUGUCCUUAUUUGUCAUUCAUUUAUAUAUGAUAACAUUGAUUCGUUAACUUAUUCAUUCCACAGAUUCCACAUAUAUCUCAUUUGUGAAGUGGGAACUUAAUGUACCUGGAUCAAGACUUUAAGAACAUUUCAAGCACAAGAUAGUGCAAACUCAUGAUUUAUUCUUGUCUUUAAAAGUACACACACUUUUAUGAUUAAUUUUGGCAGCCUUAACUGUUCUUGUUAAAGACUUUCUAAAUUCACCCAAAUAUCUGGAGUUAUACUAUCCAGUGAUCAAGCACUUUCAUGUGUUGAAGCUCCAGCUUUCUUAGAAUACCUUGAUAAACAUGAAGUAAUUUAUGAAAUACUUACUAAUUGCAAAGCACUGUGUUAGAUACGGAGAAAUGCAUUCCCUGCCUAUGGUAUUCAAUUGCUUUAAAUAUAUAAAUUCAUCUAAUCGCCACAGCGAUCUUAUUAAUUUGUAAUUGUAUUAAAGCCUUUCAGAUGAGGAGAUUUCAGUAUGGGGUUGUUAAAUGAUUUGAUCAAGGACACAAUGCUACUAAGGACAAGAGUCUGGCCAUUUCCAUCAUCCUACUCAAUCCUCAAGCAGAGUACUCAAUUUGAUUUUUUUCUUUAAUGAAUAAAUGCCAUAUCUUAUUGUGAAGACAAAAUUCUUAGUUUGAUAUUAAAAUUGUAUUAAUUACAAAUCAGUAAUUUCAUGUCAAUUUAAAACUAGCAAAUGCAGGUACUCUAUUUGAAAUUUAAAAAAAAUACAAGAUAUUAUUUUCUUUUGCAAGGUAUGAAAGACUAAUAGUUUCUGUGAAAUUAUCGUUCUUUUUAAUAUAUGGUAUACUUUUGCUAUAAAAAUACAUUUCAUCUAAGCCUGGCAUGAGGCUGUUUAGAAAAUAUGUUUAUGUUUAUGCACAGGACUUUUUGAGCAAAACUUGCUGAAAUUUCAGACCUAGGCUAAAAGACAAGCCUAAGAAGUUAAUUUAUAACUCAUUAGCUAGUAAAAAAGAUAGAGAGAUUUACUUCUUCAGAAAUAUGUGUUUGUAUUUCAAAGGGGCAUGUGACGUGGGAAAGGGAGACAUUCCCUGGCUUGUAAAGUUGGAGACUGGUCUUCUAUCUCUCCUAAAGAGAUUCAUUUGUAUUCCAAAGAGUGAGGACCCAGCAUCCUUCCCCUUACGUUUCCACAAAGACUCUCUCUGAAGGGAAUGGGGGACUUUCCUAUAUAAAUUUCUAGAUUUAUCUUUUUGUGGUCUCUUUCCUAUAUAAAGUCUAGAUUUUUUUUCCUUGGUCCUUCACCUACAAUACAGACCCUGUGAUAUCUGGUUUUCAUUUGCCAUUCCAGUGGUAAAAAUCGGGGCACAGAGGAAUCACGCUUAUUAUUUUCUCUAAGUAAAUGAUGAUAAUCUGCUCUGCCCGGAAACUUUUGUGCAUAUAUUGAAGAUGAUAAUAAUAAAUAUAGAUAUUAAAAAUCUAACACCUAGUGUGAAAACUAUUCUGUACAUUAAAAUUAGAAGUCACAGUGUUGAAACACAACGUUAUUGCUUAGUAGUUCAUUUAUUUUGCACAGUUUUGUUUUUAAACUUCCUUGAACUUUAGUUGCUGUGUAAGAUGGUCAUUUUUACAGUGCCAUUGCAAGGUUAAAUGAAAGGACAUUUGUUAAAAAUUGUGAUUUCUCAAGAACUAUAUAGAGAAAAGGAAAGAUGAUGAUGAUGAUGAUGGUGAUGAUGACAUGAUAUUGAUACCAAUGAUGAUAGAUAAUGAUAUUGAUGAUGAUAGAUAGUAAUUUGAAAUUAUUUGGUAAAAUAUCUCCAAAGGUCUUAGGGUCAAAUAAAAUAUUUGAUAUUGGCUCUCUUUUUCCUCUUAUCCUUCUUGCAAAAUCCAAGUUAUUGAAGUUAGAUUAGUGCACAUGCAAAACUGCUAAAUUAUUGCUGAGCAAAAGGCCUGGACAUGGUAAGCAAUCUAGAAAUGGUUUAGUAUGUUGUCUAUCAUGAUGUGAUGAAUAUAUAAGACAGGAAGAAAAAGAAUCAUAACUGUUUGCAGAUGAUAUUUGAAGAUAAGGUAGGUGAGCAGAGAGUCAUGAGAAGUCAGUCCCAGGUGCCUGGUACUUGAGAAAAGCCUCAUUUGGGGAGUAUGGAGCAGAUUGCUACAAUUCCAGUCACUUCUAAAGGAACUUUGUUAGAAAUAUUUGGUUUGGCAUAUUGAUGGUUUCAAUAGUGAGUAUAUUUUAUGAUGACUAAUAAACAUAAGCAAAUGAAUUUAAUUGCAACUGAGAAGAUGUAUAAAUAUAGAAUGUGUGUGAAGAAGUAAAACAAUAACCCUAAUAAUUUGAGAGGAGAAUAAAAUUGCCUCCAUCUUGUAGGCAUUUCAUAGACAGAUGCGUUUAUUUUUCUUUUGCUGUGUUUUGUAUUUUGCUUGAUUUAUAUUAUUUCUCCAUUUUACUUUCAUUGUAAUUCUCAUGUCUAAGGGAGGAUAGUACCCCAGGAAGCAAUUCGUGCAAAAUGAAAGAGAAUUCAGGUUAUUUAAUCUGAAAUACAAAUGGUAAAUUUCAAGAGUGGAAGAAAAAGUUACACUAAUAUCUUUAAACAUAUCCACCUCCCUAUGCACACAGACUGACAAUCAGAAACACACAGGACUAAUGCUUUAAAAAUUCACUGUGAGACCCUUUUUUGUUUAUCUGUUGAAAAGCAAAGAAAAUGUCUAUGAGGGCUUUUUCGAUUUAUGUCAUAGGAUGAAUAAAUUAUAUCAUAGGAUCUGCAAAUAAGAGAAAGGAGAGACCACGAAGGCACUGGGUAUGUCAAGAAAGUCCAUCUGGGAAUGCUGGGAAGAGAAUGGGAAAUGUGAGGAUUGAAGCUCAAGUCCGCUUACAUUUCAUAUAUAUCUAGGUACUGCCUAAUAUUUUCUGCAGUUCAUAAAGCUACAAAUUGGAUUAUACCUAUUAGGCAUAGAAUAAAAUCCUAAGAUUAUGUGCUUUGGUUUUCUCUUUUUAAGAAAAUAUUCCAGGGGCCAGCCUGGUUGCAUAGUGGUGAAGUUCUCACAUUCUGCUUCAGUGGCCGAGGCUUCGCUGGUUCGGUUGCAGACAUAUGUACUGCUUGUCAAGCCAUGCUGUGGCAGACGUCCCACAUAUAAAGUAGAGGAAGAUGGGCACAGAUGUUAGCUCAGGGCCCGUCCUCCUCAGCAAAAAGAGGAGGGGUAGUGGCAGUUGUUACCUCAGGGUCCAUCUUCCUCAAAAAAAGAAAAAAGAAAACAUUCCAGAGAAAUGUAUGUUAACUUUUGGUCUACUGAAAUGGAAUACUUGUCCACAAAAACAUUCCAUAAUAAUUUCCCUUGAAACUGAGAUACUUCACAUUGAUUGCCAACUUCACUCAUGCUGAAAUCAGCCAAAAGACCUCCUAAAUCACCAACAGAUGUUUGCAUACUAAAAGCCAGUGGAAAACUUUAUUUCUUUCCUUUUCCUUCCUUUAUUUGGCUGAAAUUUCCACAUCCUAAAGUAUCCCAAUAUCCGGGGCAUGUAGGCUGGAAAGCCACAGAGUUUUCUCAUCCCUGCAUUUUUACUUAUUUCAAGUGCGUAAUAGGAUAGCAUCAUCAAGGUCUAAUUGUCCUCUGGAUGUGGUCUAAAGAGACUCACAUAGAUCCCAAAGGCACAGCACUUUUACUUUAGGUGCAGAAAGUAGCUUAUAUUAAUUGCUAUAGAUUUAAUCAGUGUUCAGAAUUGUGUUCUGAAAAUUUUAAGAAACAGUGGUAUCACGAAUUAUGUUAGGUACAGGCAAGUGUUUUACACGAACAAGCUUGGAUCACUUGUAGCUCCCUAGACCAAAAAAUAAUGUAAUCAUAAACCUGUUUGUCCAGUGACUCCUACUGCUGGCAAUCCUGAAUUAGAUGUGGCAUAGGUAAACCAACAAAGUCUAUCAGCUCAGAGAAAUCGUGCCAGUACAUAGAAUGUUCAUCUACUCAAAGCGGUGACACAUUUGGGACAAAGUCCUCACAACCUAAACUUGCAGUCCUGACUAUACCAUUAAGAUUCUCAGUCUUGUUUGCCAGAUGCUUAGGUACUUUUUAUCAGUGUGUAGCUUCUCUUGAUUCUUACACUGUGUGUUACAUGGUGCUUUAGCGAUUUCAGUAUCUUAUUCCAAAAAGCUGAUUUCAAAAUAUUCUGAGAGCUAUUUCAUGAUAUCAUGGUAUAUAUCAUGAUAUAUGAUUAAGAACAAUUGAGCAACGUAUGCUUGAGUGCAAUUAUGCUUAUAUAGUAAUCAUAAUAAGUGGGGAACCAUAUAUGGAAUGAGUGCUAUCUGUCAUACAAUGGAUAUAUUAUUGUCUUAGUCUGUUCUGGCUGCUAUUAACAAACUAUCAUAGACAAGGUUGCUUCUAAUUAAUAAAAAUUGCCUUGAACAAUAGCUUCUGGCUUUAGUUAAGAUGGCUGACUAAUCUCCUUAUCAAAUGGUUAUUUACCCACACCCUCAUUUUUCAUCUUUUAUUGUAUGAAUAGGCUGAGAAUUUUCCAAAUCUUUAAUUUCUGCUUUUUCUUGAUUAACAAUUCCAUCUUUAAGUCAUUUUUCUCCUCACAUUUUACUGUAAGCAGUCAGGAGGAAGCAGGCUGUUCCUUCAACACUUUGCUUAGAAAUUCCUUAGCUAAAUAUCCAAUUUCAUUGCUCGCAAGUUCCACCUUCCACAAAACACUGGAACAUGACAAUUCAUCCAAAUUCUUUGUCACUUUAUAACAAGGAUGACCUUUCUUCCGUUGUCCAAUAACGUGUUCCUCAUUUUCACCUGAGACCUCAUCAAAAUGGCCUUUACCGUCUAUGUUCCUACCAACAUUAUGUUCAGGAUGACUUAGUUAUUCUCUAAGAAGACUGAAGCUUUCUCUAUGGCUCUCCUGUUUAAGAGCUUUCACCAGAAUUACUCUGAAGGGUCCAUUAAUGGUAGUGUAGGCUUUUUCUAGGUGCACCUCCAAACUCUUCUGGCCUCUACCCAUUACCCAGUUCUGAGGCUACUUCUGCAUUUUUAAGUAUUUGUUAGAGUAGCACCCCACUUCUGGUAUCAACUUCUGUCUUAGUCUAUUUGGGAAGUUAUAACAAACUACCAUAGACUGGGUGACUUAUAAACAACAAAAUUUUAUUUUUCACAGAUCCAGAGGCUAGGAAAUUCAAGGCACUGGCAUGUUCAUGUUUGGUGAAAGUCCGCUUCCUGGUUCUUCACAUGGUGGAAGAGAUAAAGGAGCUCUCUGGAGCCUCUAUUAUAAGGGCCCUAAUCUCAUUGGUGACCUGGUGAGAAGUGGAUGAACUCUGCAUGUGCAAGGAUGCUUAUACAUUCCUUUUGGCUAAAACGUAAAUCUUUUAAUGAGAGGAGUGAAAUUUUCUCUUUCUACUGGAUUGUUUUCCUUUGGAAAGAUUGGAGGUACUUUUUUUGCUGAGGAAAUCCUCAGUUCAAGAGGAAUGCAUGGCAGCAGGAUUAGAGGUAAGAGAGGGAAAGAGGAGAACUGGCCUCUUCAGACUGUUCUAGUCUUUGAAUAAAAUUUAAGUGAUAAAAAAGUUUACAAGUUUUGCUAUCUUGAAGAUCCAGGCAUUAUUCAAAUUAUUUUACAAGGGUAGAAAAGUAGUUUCUAGGAGAAGCCAAAGAUAGGAAUAAACAGGGCUCAUUUUCCUUAAAUAGCAUACUAAGUAUUUAGGGUAUUAGGAUUAGUAACAAUCCUAAAAUCAAGACAAUUGGUUUCCAACCUGCCUCUACAUUAAAAUCACUAAGUGAGGUUCUUAAAAUACUGAUGCCUGAGCCCCACCAGACCGAGUGAAGCCAAUCCCCUGGGAGUGGGGCCUGUUCAUCUAUGGUUUUUAGACAUUCCCCAAGAGAUUGAAACCACUACACCACAAAAUAUGCACAAAGAUUUAAAUACCCCCCCACGCAACAAAAAUAAAGUCUAACAAUCCUGUAAACGUGCACUUCCACCACUAGUGGACACAAUGCAAAGUAAAUGGACCAUUGGUAGAGGGCAGGACUUUGCGUGUGUAUAUGUGUGUGGUUCAAGACCAAAGCACAUUGAUACUUUAAAGAGGUUUAUCACUGUUGUAACACAAAUGUCAAGGCACUUCUGUAUUUAUUAGAAAAAGAAACAAAACAAUGAAGCCAUUUCUGUGAAUUUCACUUAAAGAAUUUUAAAAAGCAAAGAAAGGUGCUUCUCACUUGGAAAGAGGCUCAUUUAUUCUAUUUAAAUGUCAGAGCAAAACAUCUAAUGGUGUUGAAUGGGCCUAAAUUGUUCUUUGAAUUAACUAUGUCCAUGAAACAGUGCUUUAAUACAUAAAAUCUAAGGAGAAAUUUUCUUUAUUCUUCAUAUGUAGUACUACCUGCUUAAAUACUUAGAAAGUCAAAAUGUGAGGAAAACAAUUUAAUGAAACAAGCUAGCAAGAAAUUCAGAAAUUUACUCUGAUCUCUGCAACCAGUAUAUAAGAGAUGAUAGAAUUUUCUUACAUAAAUGGUAAACCAAAAAAGAAAUCAAGUUUUUUUUUUCCUGUGGGCUAUAAUUUAAAACAGCAUGUGCUUUUUGAUAGAACUUCUUAAUCUAAACUACCCCAAAAGAAGGAGAUAAAGAUUUUUGUCAGCCCAUUGAUGCUGUGUGAUCUACCCCAGUAGUCUUUGAGAGAUUUUGUAAAGAACUACAGCUUUCUUGCCCAGCAGCAGGAUUUUCUAAAGCUGCAUCAUUUCCUAUUUAGACUUUGGAAAAUAUUGUUUCAGUGUACUGUGGGACCAGACAAUUUUAAGAGAUUACAUAGCUUGGAAUCUAAAACGGGACAAUAAAUUACCCUUUUCAGUCCUUAAAAAUAUUUACUAACAAUAUGAAAAUUAAAUGUCUUUAUGAAACAAAGCUGCAAAACUGUCGCCAUUCUCAUUUAUAUCCUGAUGUACGAUUAAGAAAAGUUCACUUUAUUCUGAAUAUUUCCAUCAAAAAUAUUUCUCUGAAAAUUCUUUCUGAAAGUUCAGAUUCAUUGAACUGUGAAGCUGAAGAAUAAAUUUGAAUGAUGUUUAAUUCAUG